rnacentral:misc_RNA from 1 species
GCAUCAAGCUGGAGAAGACCAUUUCCUUGAUAGAGCGCUCAUAUAUCUUAGUCGUGAAUAUCAUACGCAUAUGCCACCAUUCGAUCUGUACACCUUACUUGUUUGUUGGGAUUAAUGAGUUCUCCUUCUCCUUAUCAAUGGCAGCAUUGGCAGCAGCAUGAUCCUCAUCCAGGAACAAAUCCCACUGUCCUUCCCACUUGAUAAAGAACUCUGUAUCUUCAAAAUAUUUCACUCUAUGCACAUCCCCAGCUUGAGUAAACAAGUAAUCCCCAAUACCCAAAUCAUAUCUCUCCCCUUUACUCAAAUUCCAAACCCUUUUACUACCUUUCAACACCACAAGAUCAUGCCCGAAUGUAUGAUGAUGCGCCGGCUCGACGCUCCCCGCAGUGAAACGCACAAAUGCUGAAGUAGGACUUUCCCUCACUAUAGAAAUUGAACCACCAGGCAUUAUAUCCACAGCAUUGAACUCUCUAGACUUCACCAAUGAACAAAGAUGGCAAUCACUAGAGGAUUCCACUGGUUUAGGAGUACCGAUUUUGUUCAUUUCGUGGAUUGAAUUUUCUAAAAAUUGGUCGAUCUCGUCGGGCCAUGGGUUAGAUCCAGAAGCGGGGCAAGGAGACUUAAACGGUGUUUCCAGAAACGUCUUGAGAACGUCGGAAGCUACCUCCGGCGUGGUAUUCAUACCGGAAACAGCGAGAACGUUGCAAUUAUUGAUGGAACGAGCAUUCCGGGCUUCAUCCGUGUUAAGACACGUGGCGGCAUAGACACCGGGGAACUUGUUAGCGAAAAUAGCGACUCCAACGCCGGUACCACAUGCGAGGAGUCCUCGAGUUUCAACGGCGGGGUCAUCAGCGGCUUGACUAACUCGGCGGCCGAUUUCUUCGCCGACAGAGUAGUAUUUGUCUGUUCCGAGGUCUUCAACUUGGAUGUUUAGUGCACGGAGUUGAGAGACUAAGACGUCUUUGAGGUUGCAGCCGAAGGAAUCGGCGCCGGCGAUGAUUUUCAAGGGUCGUUUAGUGGAUUGUUGAGCCAUGAUAUGAGACUUGCG